ACCUCCCCCACCCCCGCCCCCGGCGCCCCACCUCCACCUUCUCCCGUCAUCCCCAUCUUCUUCCAUCGUGGCCGCCCAGCGAGCCACCGUAUUGUCCCACCCUUCCCAGCGACGCCUUUCUCCGUGCCCACGCCGAUGAGCCCCACGGCAUCGCGAAUCCGUCGGUACACGCCUCUACCGACCACCUCCGUGGCCGCCUGAUGCCUGGGUCCAACGUGCCCCACCUACACCACCCCGGAACGGAUCUGGGGAUGUCCUCCUUCCAUCGACGCCACCAGCGGCGACUACCACCACUCUAGGCACGGAUCCCGAGCAGCGGCUCCUCCCUACGACAUGGCACGAGAUGCAGUCUAUUACCUCACGGCAUGAGUUCCACAACCUCGGUCAGUGAAGUCUGCCCUGCGUCUGCCCUGCAAUUGUCAAUGUCGUCGGCGAAGAGCCGCCAUCCUAACUCACCCUCAUGUGUGUUGCUGCUCUCCGCUAUUGGUGAAGUGUUUUUGUUGAUUUUUCAUAGUUGGUCGUCGGUGCAGUUCGCCGAUGAAAGGAGCAGCUUGCUUGCUCGUGCGUGCGGCUCGACUGUUUGCUGGAUGUUGUGUGCCUAUGAUGAAAUUUGUUAUGUGGCUGGCAAGAGGACCACAUCGAGUUGGUCGGCAACACAUAUACUUCUAGUUAAGUCGACAACGGGUUUCAGGAGCUGAUUCGAAGAUGAUGUCGAGCCACCAAACCAGCCUCCCACAUGCCCAUGUGUGUUUUGCAAUUAGUGGAUGGCUGUUUGUGUUUUGUAGGUGCUAUCUCUGCUGGAAUGCAAUGCAGUGCAUCAAAAGCAUGAAACAUUUUUGUUGUUUAUUUUUCAGAGUUGACUGGGUACCUCUGUGGAGAGCACGCCAGAUGGGAAGCUCGAAGUUCGUCAGCUGGAGUGCAUUUGCUUAGUUGGAGCUGUGGUUUUCUUGCUUUGCGCAACUUAGUAGGUCCCGCCGGAGAGGUUCGUUGUGCCGUCGGUUGCAGUUAGCUGUUGCGCGUGAUGGAGUCCAUUGACCGCACAUUUCUUGUUUCAAAAGAUUUGUUUGAUGCAGUGCGGUUCAUCAUUGGGUGUUAUUUGACUUUUAGUUUUUCACACACGAUCGAAAAUAAAUUGUGCUAUGUUUUGUUUCUCCCAAAGGGCCCCCGAUUCUGUUCGAGGGUUAAUUUGCAAAUUCCUAGGGAUAGUUAUUCACUUCAUAGGCUGGUGGAGGAGUGCAAAUUUUGUAUGUGUGUGACUGUGCAAAAUAAUCACAUAGAUAUGUAUGCUUUGAAG
rnacentral:lncRNA from 1 species